UACAGCCAUAUCACAUUGAAACACCAGUUCCCAUAAAAUCACCUAAGUUAAGCAAUAUCUAGGCUGGUCAGUACCUAAAUGGGUGACUGCUUGGGAAUACCAGGUGUUGUAAG